rnacentral:rRNA from 1 species
AAUGGAGGAAACUCUGACGCAGCCAUGCCGCGUGCAGGAAGAAUGCCUACGGGUUGUAAACUGCUUUUAUAUAGGAAGAACCCCGAUACGUGUAUCGGCUUGACGGUACUAUAUGAAUAAGGACCGGCUAACUCCGUGCCAGCAGCCGCGGUAAUACGGAGGGUCCAAGCGUUAUCCGGAUUUAUUAGGUUUAAAGGGUCCGCAGGCGGGAUUUUAAGUCAGUGGUGAAAGCCUACAGCUCAACUGUAGAACUGCCAUUGAAACUGAAAUUCUUGAGUGUGGUUGAAGUGGGCGGAAUAUGUCAUGUAGCGGUGAAAUGCAUAGAUAUGACAUAGAACACCAAUUGCGAAGGCAGCUCACUAAGCCAUUACUGACGCUCAUGGACGAAAGCGUGGGGAGCGAACAGGAUU